rnacentral:misc_RNA from 1 species
UUCAUAUAUGACUACAGUAUGGCUUGUAAAAUACUUUUGGUCGAACGAUGCUUGCUGCCUAUAUACAUAUAUAUACAUAUGUGUGCAAUCCUCGUUCUAGAUAAGAAUAAUAUUGCAACAUGUGCAUUGUGUGGAGGAUCGCCGCUUGUCCAAUCAUCCGCGUCCUCCAUCAUUGUACACGAAUGUCAUAACAUACAUAUCGUUGUUACUGUGAAAUGCAUUUAGCGAGAAUUGAAAUGCUUUUACAGGGCUAGCGUCGCGUAUGCGCACGACGACAACGGUAGAUGUCUAUGUCAUUUGCAA